GAACGCACAUUGCGCCUCCUGGUAUUCCGGGAGGCAUGCCUGUUCGAGCGUCAUUAAAAUCACUCAAGCUUAGGUUUACCUAUUGCUUGGUCUUGGAGAUGGAAGCCAAUUCAUUGGAAUCCUCUUCGAAAUUCAAUGGCGAAGACCCUUGCUCUCCCAAGUGUAGUAAUAACUUAUGUCACUGAAGGAAGCGAGAAAUCUUCUGCCGUAACCCCCAUAUUUUCUAUGAUUGACCUCGGAUCAGGUAGGGAUACCCGCUGAACUUAAG
rnacentral:misc_RNA from 1 species